AAAAGCAAAAAAGCAUGGAGGAGGUACUUAUACCUGUUGGCCAACGACUCUUUUAUCUACAGGUGUCCGUUGCUUCCCUCUUCAAAAACAAGAACAAGAAGCCUGCAAACCUCAAAGCCUUGUGCCCUAGCUUCUUUGUGGUUUACUGAGAAGAACAAGAGGCAGUUGUCCUUUGAUUGUCCUUGCUCGUCAAUUGAUUGUCUUAGCCGUGCCCUAACCUCUCAAUUCAGGUUUACAAGUUGAUUGUAGAUGAUGAUCUGCACUCGCAUAAAGCUUGGUAUGUACUAAAACAAGUAUUAUGUUACACAUUAACCAGAGACUCAGGCUAUUUUAAGCUUGUUUUCCGGCAUGUAUAUAAUCUAUUUCUUCAAAUAUAUAACAUUUUGGAUGCAA